UGGAGCUGAAAUCAGUCGAAGAUACCAGCUGGCUGCAACUGUUUAUUAAAAACACAGCACUGUGCAAACACGAAAGUGGACGUAUACGGUGUGACGCCUGCCCGGUGCCGGAAGGUUAAUUGAUGGGGUUAUCCGUAAGGAGAAGCUCUUGAUCGAAGCCCCGGUAAACGGCGGCCGUAACUAUAACGGUCCUAAGGUAGCGAAAUUCCUUGUCGGGUAAGUUCCGACCUGCACGAAUGGCGUAAUGAUGGCCAGGCUGUCUCCACCCGAGACUCAGUGAAAUUGAACUCGCUGUGAAGAUGCAGUGUACCCGCGGCAAGACGGAAAGACCCCGUGAACCUUUACUAUAGCUUGACACUGAACACUGGUCCUUGAUGUGUAGGAUAGGUGGGAGGCUUUGAAGUGUGGACGCCAGUCUGCAUGGAGCCGUCCUUGAAAUACCACCCUUUAAUGGCUGGUGUUCUAACGUGGGCCCGUAAUCCGGGUUGCGGACAGUGUCUGGUGGGUAGUUUGACUGGGGCGGUCUCCUCCCAAAGAGUAACGGAGGAGCACGAAGGUUAGCUAAUCCUGGUCGGACAUCAGGAGGUUAGUGCAAAGGCAUAAGCUAGCUUGACUGCGAGAGUGACGGCUCGAGCAGGUGCGAAAGCAGGUCUUAGUGAUCCGGUGGUUCUGAAUGGAAGGGCCAUCGCUCAACGGAUAAAAGGUACUCCGGGGAUAACAGGCUGAUACCGCCCAAGAGUUCAUAUCGACGGCGGUGUUUGGCACCUCGAUGUCGGCUCAUCACAUCCUGGGGCUGAAGUAGGUCCCAAGGGUAUGGCUGUUCGCCAUUUAAAGUGGUACGCGAGCUGGGUUUAGAACGUCGUGAGACAGUUCGGUCCCUAUCUGCCGUGGGCGCUGGAGAAUUGAGGGGGGCUGCUCCUAGUACGAGAGGACCGGAGUGGACGCAUCACUGGUGUUCGGGUUGUCAUGCCAAUGGCACUGCCCGGUAGCUAAAUGCGGAAGAGAUAAGUGCUGAAAGCAUCUAAGCACGAAACUUGCCCCGAGAUGAGUUCUCCCUGAGACUUUGAGUCUCCUGAAGGAACGUUGAAGACGACGACGUUGAUAGGUCGGGUGUGUAAGUGUAGCGAUACAUUGAGCUAACCGAUACUAAUGAACCGUGAGGCUUAACCUU
rnacentral:rRNA from 1 species